rnacentral:rRNA from 1 species
GUCGGGUUAAGGAGGAAAGGUGGCCUACUUCAUGAAAGCUACCGUAUAAGGGAUGAGCCUGCGUACCAUUAGGCUAGUAGGUGGGGUAAUGGCCCACCUAGGCAACGAUGGUUAGCGGGUCUGAGAGGAUGAUCCGCCACACUGGAACUGGAACACGGACCAG